rnacentral:rRNA from 1 species
GGGACACGUGGUAUCCUGUCUGAAUAUGGGGGGACCAUCCUCCAAGGCUAAAUACUCCUGACUGACCGAUAGUGAACCAGUACCGUGAGGGAAAGGCGAAAAGAACCCCGGCGAGGGGAGUGAAAAAGAACCUGAAACCGUGUACGUACAAGCAGUGGGAGCACGCUUAGGCGUGUGACUGCGUACCUUUUGUAUAAUGGGUCAGCGACUUAUAUUCUGUAGCAAGGUUAACCGAAUAGGGGAGCCGAAGGGAAACCGAGUCUUAACUGGGCGUUAAGUUGCAGGGUAUAGACCCGAAACCCGGUGAUCUAGCCAUGGGCAGGUUGAAGGUUGGGUAACACUAACUGGAGGACCGAACCGACUAAUGUUGAAAAAUUAGCGGAUGACUUGUGGCUGGGGGUGAAAGGCCAAUCAAACCGGGAGAUAGCUGGUUCUCCCCGAAAGCUAUUUAGGUAGCGCCUCGUGAAUUCAUCUCCGGGGGUAGAGCACUGUUUCGGCAAGGGGGUCAUCCCGACUUACCAACCCGAUGCAAACUGCGAAUACCGGAGAAUGUUAUCACGGGAGACACACGGCGGGUGCUAACGUCCGUCGUGAAGAGGGAAACAACCCAGACCGCCAGCUAAGGUCCCAAAGUCAUGGUUAAGUGGGAAACGAUGUGGGAAGGCCCAGACAGCCAGGAUGUUGGCUUAGAAGCAGCCAUCAUUUAAAGAAAGCGUAAUAGCUCACUGGUCGAGUCGGCCUGCGCGGAAGAUGUAACGGGGCUAAACCAUGCACCGAAGCUGCGGCAGCGACACUGUGUGUUGUUGGGUAGGGGAGCGUUCUGUAAGCCUGUGAAGGUGUGCUGUGAGGCAUGCUGGAGGUAUCAGAAGUGCGAAUGCUGACAUAAGUAACGAUAAAGCGGGUGAAAAGCCCGCUCGCCGGAAGACCAAGGGUUCCUGUCCAACGUUAAUCGGGGCAGGGUGAGUCGACCCCUAAGGCGAGGCCGAAAGGCGUAGUCGAUGGGAAACAGGUUAAUAUUCCUGUACUUGGUGUUACUGCGAAGGGGGGACGGAGAAGGCUAUGUUGGCCGGGCGACGGUUGUCCCGGUUUAAGCGUGUAGGCUGGUUUUCCAGGCAAAUCCGGAAAAUCAAGGCUGAGGCGUGAUGACGAGGCACUACGGUGCUGAAGCAACAAAUGCCCUGCUUCCAGGAAAAGCCUCUAAGCAUCAGGUAACAUCAAAUCGUACCCCAAACCGACACAGGUGGUCAGGUAGAGAAUACCAAGGCGCUUGAGAGAACUCGGGUGAAGGAACUAGGCAAAAUGGUGCCGUAACUUCGGGAGAAGGCACGCUGAUAUGUAGGUGAAGCGACUUGCUCGUGGAGCUGAAAUCAGUCGAAGAUACCAGCUGGCUGCAACUGUUUAUUAAAAACACAGCACUGUGCAAACACGAAAGUGGACGUAUACGGUGUGACGCCUGCCCGGUGCCGGAAGGUUAAUUGAUGGGGUCAGCGCAAGCGAAGCUCUUGAUCGAAGCCCCGGUAAACGGCGGCCGUAACUAUAACGGUCCUAAGGUAGCGAAAUUCCUUGUCGGGUAAGUUCCGACCUGCACGAAUGGCGUAAUGAUGGCCAGGCUGUCUCCACCCGAGACUCAGUGAAAUUGAACUCGCUGUGAAGAUGCAGUGUACCCGCGGCAAGACGGAAAGACCCCGUGAACCUUUACUAUAGCUUGACACUGAACAUUGAGCCUUGAUG